rnacentral:tRNA from 1 species
GGCUCGCUAGCUCAAUAGGAUUAGAGCAACAGCCUUCUAAGCUGUAGGUUCUGCGUUCGAAUCGCAGGCGAGUCACCA